rnacentral:tRNA from 1 species
AGCUUGGUAGUUAAAUUAUAAUAUAAAAUUGCAAAUUUUAAGAUGGUUUUAUACCCUGAGCUU